UGCAUGUGGACUUGGAUGUUGCUGUGUAACAAACGGCUCAUCUGAAAUGCCUGAGUGUACCCUGCUUGCAGCGUAUUUGGUGUGAUAAAUCUUCACCGGAGUUGACCCUCAGGGUCGCGUCUGCUUGACAUGGCUCUAUGCUUCCAACCGUCCUGACAGACAAUCUUUGACAAUUUGACCUCAAAUCGGGUGGGACUACCCGCUGAACUUAAGCAUAUCAAUAAGCGGAGGAAAAGAAACUAACAAGGAUUCCCCUAGUAACGGCGAGUGAAGAGGGAAAAGCUCAAAUUUUGAAUCUGGUGUCUUUGACGCCCGAGUUGUAAUCUAGAGAAGUGUUUUCCGCUUUGGACCAUGUACAAGUCCCCUGGAACGGGGCGUCAUAGAGGGUGAGAAUCCCGUAUAUGCCAUGGACUACCAAUGCUCUGUGAUACACUCUCAACGAGUCGAGUUGUUUGGGAAUGCAGCUCAAAAUGGGUGGUAAAUUCCAUCUAAAGCUAAAUAUUGGCGAGAGACCGAUAGCGAACAAGUACCGUGAGGGAAAGAUGAAAAGCACUUUGGAAAGAGAGUGAAACAGUACGUGAAAUUGUUGAAAGGGAAGCGUUUGAAGUCAGUCAUAUCUGUUGGAAUUCAGCCUGGCUUCUGCCUGGUGUACUUUCUGUCCGAUGGGUCAGCAUCAAUUUCGACCGAGGGAAAAAGACAUUCGGAAUGUGGCUGUCUUCGGGCAGUGUUAUAGCCUUGUGUUGUAUGUCUCGGUUGGGAUUGAGGAACGCAGCGCGCCUAUUGGCCGGGGGUUCGCGCCCCUCGGUACGCGCUUAGGAUGCUGGCAUAAUGGCUUUAAGCGACC
rnacentral:rRNA from 1 species